AACGAACGCUGGCGGCAUGCCUAACACAUGCAAGUCGAACGAGACCUUCGGGUCUAGUGGCGCACGGGUGCGUAACGCGUGGGAACCUGCCCUUAGGUUCGGAAUAACUCCCCGAAAGGUGUGCUAAUACCGGAUAAUGUCUUCGGACCAAAGAUUUAUCGCCUUGGGAUGGGCCCGCGUUGGAUUAGCUAGUUGGUAGGGUAAAAGCCUACCAAGGCGAGGAUCCAUAGCUGGUCGGGGAGGAUGACAAGCCACACUGGGACUGAGACACGGCCCAGACUCCUAGGGAGGGCAGCGGUGGGGAACAUUAGACACGGGACGAAGGCGUAACAAAGCCGUGCGGCGUAAGAGAUGAAGCCCUUAGGGUUGCAAAGCCCUUUUACCCGGGGUGAUAAUGACGGUACCGGGAAAAUAAGCUCCGGCUAACUCCGUG
rnacentral:rRNA from 1 species